rnacentral:sRNA from 1 species
AUGUACCACGCCUACCCUCCCGCUCCUCCGCGCCAUCCGCACCCACCUGGCGACCUCGCCACGUUUUGUCCGCC